CAGAACUCAGCCACCCCCAGAGGAAUGUGGCAUUAUCCAACCCCACACACAGCUGCUCAGUGUCCCCCAAGCCACACAUGAAAAUAAUGAGCUGCAGCCUGACACUGAUGAGUGUGCUCCCCAUUGCACUGCACCAGCUCCAUGUGCUGAUUUUGGGUGUGAAACUGAAGGGGUUGGAGGAAACCCGACUCGGCCAUCAAGCUCACCAAAAUACAAGACAUCAAAACUGCAAUUGUUGCAGAAGACGGUCUGCCGUCUGCGCCGGCAGGUGAGGCAGCUCAAAGCUCAGGCCAUUACCACUCCUGGGCAGUUUUUGGCCAAAGCCAGCAAUUUCCUAGAUCCAAAAGUGGUGGAUUUUUUCAAAGGACAGGUUCAACAUGCUGCAAGAUCUAAGCCUGGUAGGAGAUAUGGGGUACAAGAGAGGAGGUUUGCUCUGGCCUUGUACUAUCAAAGUCCAAAGGCUUAUCGAUUUCUCAGCACAGUAUUUCAUUUGCCUUCAGUUUCAACACUUCACUCAUGGCUCAGGGGUAUUUCACUAAAUGUUGGCUGGAGCAAACAGACUCUGACAGCCCUGAAGAAAAGAGCACAGGCUUUGUCAAAAGAAGAGACACUUUGUGGGAUUGCAUUUGAUGCCAUGAGUAUUAAAGAAUCAUUGCAUUUUGACAAAGCCUCUGAUUCUAUCAUAGGAAGGGAGGAUUUCGGAGAGCAUGGGAAGAGUUUGAAACCAGCAAAUCAUGCACUCGUGUUCAUGGUUAAGGGCUUAUUGAAAAAAUGGAAACUUGUUUUAGGAUGUUUCUUUUAUUCGGGAGGGAUUAAAACUUGUAAAAUCAGGGAACUGUAUGAAACAGCAAUAAAAAAAGUCAAGGACACGGGACACAGAGUUAUGUUUACAGUUUGUGAUCAAGAGGGAGUGCAUCGUUCCUUGUUCCAGACUCUUGGCAUGACAACUGAAAAUCCUUCCUUUACAGUCGAUGGUGAGAAGGUUCACUUUUUUUUUGAUUCUCCACAUCUUUUGAAAAGCCUG